rnacentral:tRNA from 1 species
GCUCGCCUAGCUCAGUUGGUUAGAGCGUCGUACUAAUAAUUGGAUACAUCAUUCAAUAUUCAGUAAUGCGAAGGUCGUAGGUUCAAUCCCUGCGGUGAGCA